AGGCUUCUUAGCGGCCGCCAUGACCAGCAAAGCACGCGCAAACGGCCCACAGCCUCCUUCCGUUUGGCUGAGUGACGUACUUCUGGCAGGGGCGUGUCCUCUCCCGGAAAUGGCUUCACUGCCCGCCGCAGGCACUCCCUGUCUUUGGAGAGGGAAAUACUUCAGCUCCGGGAGAGAGCCGGCAGAAACCCAGGUGACACCAAUGCUGCGGCAUCUUAUAUACAAAAUCAAGGCAACUGGCCCCCUCACUGUGGCUGAGUACAUGAAGGAGGUCUUGACCAACCCUGCCAAGGGAUAUUAUGUGUACCGUGACAUGCUAGGAGAAAAAGGAGAUUUCAUUACUUCACCGGAAAUAAGUCAGAUCUUUGGGGAGCUGCUAGGUAUAUGGUUCAUUAGCGAAUGGAUGGCUACUGGAAAAAAUGCAGCUUUCCAACUGGUGGAACUGGGCCCAGGCAGGGGUACCCUCGCAGGAGAUAUUUUGAGGGUGUUCAGUCAGCUUGGAUCUGUGCUGAAAAACUGUGACAUUUCAAUACAUCUGGUAGAGGUGAGCAGAAAACUGAGUGAGAUUCAGGCAUUAACACUGACUGAAGAGAAGAUACCACUAGAGCGAAAUGCUGGAUCCCCUGUGUAUAUGAAAGGUGUUACAAAAUCUGGGAUUCCAAUCUCAUGGUACCGAGAUCUGCAUGAUGUUCCAAAAGGACACAGCUUUUAUCUAGCACAUGAAUUUUUUGACGUCCUUCCUGUGCAUAAGUUUCAGAAAACCCCACAAGGAUGGCGAGAAGUAUUCAUUGAUAUCGAUCCACAGGUUUCUGAUAAGCUGCGGUUUGUUUUGGCGCCUUGUGUCACACCAGCAGAAGUCUUCAUACAACGUGAUGAAAUGAGGGACCACGUGGAAGUGUGUCCUGAGGCUGGCAUUAUCAUUCAGGAGCUUUCUCAGCGCAUUGCGCUAACCGGAGGGGCUGCACUGAUUGCCGAUUAUGGUCAUGACGGAACGAAGACAGAUACCUUCAGAGGGUUUUGUGGCCACAAGCUCCAUGACGUCCUGACUGCCCCAGGAACAGCGGACCUCACAGCCGAUGUGGACUUCAGUUAUCUGCGCAGAAUGGCAGAGGGAGAAGUAGCUUCUCUGGGGCCAAUAAAACAACAGACAUUUUUAAAAAAUAUGGGCAUUGAUGUCCGGCUGAAGGUUCUUUUAGACAAAUCAGAUGAGCCAGCCAGGCAGCAGUUACUUCAGGGAUAUGAUAUGUUGAUGAAUCCUAAGAAGAUGGGAGAAAGAUUUAACUUUUUUGCCUUGCUACCUCAUCAGAGACUUCAUGGUAGAAGCCAUCCGAUGAAUGCAUGUCAGUCAAAACCCUCUGUGUCACCUGUAGCUGGGUUUGGUGAACUUGCCUGGCGGUGAUCUCAGUGUGGACGUUUUACCCCUACGUCUGCCUAAGCAAGCAAAAUAAAGGGAACACAUUUCAUAUAUCACAGAAUCUACCUACCACUACGACAAGAGAUACACAGAUUACAUCUCCUCAAAACCCUCUAUUCCCUGGAACAUUACUGGAUAUCCAGUCUUCACUGCAGUCUUAGAAAAGCCAACAUCUAUAUACUACAGCUAUUACAGCCGGAUGCCCCAAGUGGAAGACGGAUAUAAUUGCUACAGUCUACAAUUUUGUUUGGUGUCCGUCUGGGACACAGCAAAGUGUGGAGCAAGCCAAGCAAAGAAGACUAUACGAAGGUGAAGAAGAAGCUUUUGGAAUCAGGGCCUAAGAUAAAAUGGAUCAGUGGGGAACACCAAAUACCAUACUGGCAUCUUCUGGACAGGCAAUGAUCAUGGGACUUACUGAACUGCCCAAUCUAAAUCAUAGUGUCCAAAAGGCAAUCAGUACCAACCUGACAAGUAGGCCGAAACCAAAGGAACUCACAACAAAAAACAACCUUGGGUAGCAGGGCUAUUGUGAGGGGUGAAAUGGAGGGGUGUGGGACAAUUAUUUCAACAAGGAACUUAACCAUGAUUUCUAUACAUGAUAUUAGGCAGAGUCAUAAUAGAUAUAUGCCAACAUAAUUAAUAUUAUUUGAAUAUUUGGAAAAUAUACAAUAUUUCAAUGUACAUAUUUUUCAAAAUGUGGAAUCUUU